rnacentral:lncRNA from 10 species
CUGAGACUUACAGAGAGGCUGGGCCCUGGACUGGGGGAUCACAGAGGGUGGGGGCUGUGAGAGCCUCGAGGGAAAGAGGACACAGGAGGAAGGUGGGUGCGGUGAUGGCUCAGGGACCACCUGCAGCUCCAGCUGGCCUGGAUAAUGGCAGGGUCUGUGGGGCAAUGGCCCUGCUACAGGACUGGGGCCGCUUUGCUCCUGAAUGCUCACCUGCCCAGAGUUUUGCCCUUGUUGCCCGGGCUGGAGUGCAAUGGUGCGAUCUCGGCUCACCGCAACCUCCGCCUCCCAGGUUCAAGAGAUUCUCCUGCCUCAGCCUCCUGAGUAGCUGAGAUUACAGGCAUGAGCCACCAUGCCUAGCUAAAUUUUUGUAUCUUUAGUACAGGGUUUCUCCAUAUUGGUCAGGCUGGUCUUGAACUCCCGACCUCAGGUGAUCCGCCUGCCUUGGCCUCCCAAAGUGCUGGGAUUACAGGUGUGAGCCAUCGCACCCGGCCCCUGAGUACUCUUUUAUCCUCCUACUAUGUGAAGUCACAGUGAAAAAAUGGCAGUCUUCAACCCAGAAGAGAACUCUCAUCAGAACCUAACCAUACUGGCACCCUGAUCCCAGGCUUCCAGCCUCCAGAUCUGUAAGAAAUAAAUGUCUGUUAUCUAUAAACCACCCAGUUUAUGGUAUUUGGUUACAGCAGCCUGAUUGACUAAGACAAUUGCAUUCUCGAUCAAUAUUUUUUUGUCUCUGCAUAUGCACCACUGAGGUUUUAAUUACUGUAGCAUCAUAAUAAGAUUUGGUAUCUUAUAGGGAAAUUUUGUCUGCCUUAUUCUUCUUGAACCAUUACUCUUCCACAUGAAUUAUAACUUUUAAAAUAAUUUUUUAGUGUGCAUUUAAAAGCUAUGUUGGGCAAAAUAGUAACAAUAAAAAUCAAAUAGAAACCCUAGAGAUAAAGAAUACAAUAACUGAACUAAAGUGUUUGACAGAAAGCUACAAUAGUAGACUUGAUCAAGCAGAAGAAAGAAUCAGUGAACACAAAGAUAGGAAUUUUGAAAUUAUCCAGUCAGACAAGCAAAAAGAAAAGAAAAAUAAAGGUCUAUGGGAAUUAUGGGACAACAUCAAGAGACUAACCUAUGCAAAAUAGGAGUCCUUGAA